rfam:Brachypodium distachyon strain Bd21 chromosome 3, whole genome shotgun sequence.
UUAGUACUCUCUCUGUCCAACAAAAGAUGUCUCAAGUUUGUCAAAAUUUGGAUGUAUCUAGACAUGACUUAGUGUAUAGAUGCAUUCAAAUUUAGUCAAAGUGGAGACAUCCUUUGUUGGACGGAGGGAGUACAUU